UUUCGAUAACGUAAAAAUUAACUCAUAUUUGUAUGGAGUUCGAACGUUUGUCUGCGUUUGCCGCUAGGGGCGCUGUUCCAACUGCAUACAAACUUGAGUGACUUUUACGCUAUCGA
rnacentral:pre_miRNA from 9 species